AUCGAGUCAUACCUGAGCUCAGACUCGUCGAUGAUUGACAGCUAAAGAACAAAUCUCCGUCAGAGGUAUUAUCACCGUCCGCUUCGACGUCGUUAACUUGGUGCGCAAGAGGGCUUAACGCCGUUGGAUGCAUCUCCUUCCACGUGGCGGGUUCUUGCUUCCUCUCGAAAUGAUCGGCGAUUCUUGAAACCUUUCUCUUGACGCCAAGAAUGCCUUCAGGCGAUGGAGCCCACUUGUAGUCAGAACCAACAUCAUCACUAUCCGAGUUGUUCAAAUCGACGCCGUUAACUUGAUGCAACGGCGCCCACGUGGCGUGCUCCUCUCAAUCGACAAAAAGAACUCCAUCAGGCGAUGAAGCCCACUCGUAGUUAGAGCCCGUUGAAUCUUGGCCGGAAUUGUCAACGGAAAAUUGGGUUUGGUUGGAAAUGUUGCCGGAAAUUGGUUCUUGCCUGAGCCAUGGGUGGGAUGGGCGGAAGAGAAGGAUUUCCGGCAAGGCAGGCAGCGUCCACAAUGGAGUUUACUGAAAAGAGAGAGAAAUAAGGAUGUGGAGUUGUUUGAUCUUCUUUUCUUGUAGAAAGAAAAAGAAGAGACUUGUUUUUGCUGAAUUUUGAGGAAACGAAUUCGUUGGGUGAGGCAAUAGGGGAAUAUUCCCUAUUGAGGGUGAGAAGGGCUCAUUAGGUACCGGUGGGUGCAGCACUCUUCGGCCAUGGCCAUGGCCAUGCUCAUGCGACUCUCUCUCUCUGAGUAGAUUUCUCUCACUCUCUCUCUCUGCGAUGCAAGAUUCUAAAGAAAGCUUGAUGCCCAAGAUAGUAGUCUCUCUCUCUAGAUGGUGCUCUCUUUCUCUCUCUAAGUUGGUAGAUUGUAGGCUCUCUAUCUCUCUGCAAUAUCUGUGUUGGUUUCUC
rnacentral:lncRNA from 1 species